CAUGGCUCAGAGCGAACGCUGGCGGCAGGCCUAACACAUGCAAGUCGAACGGACCCUUCGGGGUUAGUGGCGGACGGGUGAGUAACACGUGGGAACGUGCCUUUUGGUUCGGAAUAGCUCCUGGAAACGGGUGGUAAUGCCGAAUGUGCCCUUCGGGGGAAAGAUUUAUCGCCAUUAGAGCGGCCCGCGUCUGAUUAGCUAGUUGGUGAGGUAAAGGCUCACCAAGGCUACGAUCAGUAGCUGGUCUGAGAGGAUGACCAGCCACAUUGGGACUGAGACACGGCCCAAACUCCUACGGGAGGCAGCAGUGGGGAAUCUUGCGCAAUGGGCGAAAGCCUGACGCAGCCAUGCCGCGUGAAUGAUGAAGGUCUUAGGAUUGUAAAAUUCUUUCACCGGGGACGAUAAUGACGUACCCGGAGAAGAAGC
rnacentral:rRNA from 1 species